GAUGAACGCUGGCGGCGUGCCUAAUACAUGCAAGUCGAGCGAACGGACGAGAAGCUUGCUUCUCUGAUGUUAGCGGCGGACGGGUGAGUAACACGUGGACAACCUACCUAUAAGACUGGGAUAACUUCGGGAAACCGGAGCUAAUACCGGAUAAUAUUUUGAACCGCAUGGUUCAAAAGUGAAAGACGGUCUUGCUGUCACUUAUAGAUGGAUCCUCGCUGCAUUAGCUAGUUGGUAAGGUAACGGCUUACCAAGGCAACGAUGCAUAGCCGACCUGAGAGGGUGAUCGGCCACACUGGAACUGAGACACGGUCCAGACUCCUACGGGAGGCAGCAGUAGGGAAUCUUCCGCAAUGGGCGAAAGCCUGACGGAGCAACGCCGCGUGAGUGAUGAAGGUCUUCGGAUCGUAAAACUCUGUUAUUAGGGAAGAACAUAUGUGUAAGUAACUGUGCACAUCUUGACGGUACCUAAUCAGAAAGCCACGGCUAACUACGUG
rnacentral:rRNA from 1 species